rnacentral:rRNA from 1 species
AUGGGUUGCAGGUGGCUCGAUGUGAUCUUUGAAUUGGAGGGGGUGGUCAUGGAGGAUGACACCCGGCUGGAGAGGCAGGCCUGGCUCACCCCCGCGGAGGAGGAGGGCAAGUCGUCGCCGAGACGCCGACGGGUUCAGGCGAUGAAGGCCGACCACACCGUCUCCAAGGUGCUCUAUUGGUCUCGGGACCCCUCGGAGAUCCGGCUCCUGACUUUGCGCAAGGAGGCACACGCAGCGAUGCACGCAAGGUUGGUCUUCUCCUUCUAUUAUACUCAACAAUUGCGUGUUUGGACCGUGUUGCAAAUGCAACUCUGA